AGAAUCUUUCGCAAUGGGCGCAAGCCUGACGAAGCGACGCCGUGUGAACGAAGAAGGCCUUCGGGUUGUAAAGUUCUUUCGCCGGAGAACAAGAGAGGUUGGCUAACAUCCGACUGAUUUGAUGGUACUCGGUAAAGAAGCACCGGCUAACUCCGUGCCAGCAGCUGCGGUAAUACGGAGGGUGCAAGCAUUGAUCGGAAUUAUUGGGCGUAAAGGGCGCGUAGGCGGCUAGAUAAGUCAGGUGUGAAACUCCGGGGCUCAACCCCGGAACUGCAUUUGAAACUAUUUGGCUAGAGUAUAGUUAGGGAAAACGGAAUUCCACGUGUAGCGGUGAAAUGCGUAGAUAUGUGGAAGAACACCGGUGGUGAAGACGGUUUUCUGAACUAUCACUGACGCUGAGGCGCGAAAGCUAGGGGAGCA
rnacentral:rRNA from 1 species